rnacentral:rRNA from 2 species
UAAGUUAUAAAGGGCGCAUGGUGAAUGCCUUGGUACUAGGAGCCGAUGAAGGACGGGACUAACACCGAUAUGCUUCGGGGAGCGGUAAGUACGCUUUGAUCCGGAGAUUUCCGAAUGGGGAAACCCAAUCAUCUUAGUUGAUGAUUGCCUGAGCAGUGAAUACAUAGCUAUCAGGCGGUAGACGCAGUGAACUGAAACAUCUAAGUAGCUGCAGGAAGAGAAAGAAAAUUCGAUUCCCUGAGUAGCGGCGAGCGAAACGGGAAGAGCCCAAACCAACGAGCUUGCUUGUUGGGGUUGUAGGACUGAACAUUUGAGUUACCAAAGUGCGACGUAGUUGAAGUCGUUGGGAAGCGACGCCAAAGAUGGUGAUAGCCCAGUAAACGAAACGUCACACUCUCAGUUCAGGAUCCUGAGUACGGCGGGACACGUGAAACCCGUCGGAAUCCGCGAGGACCAUCUCGCAAGGCUAAAUACUCCCUAGUGACCGAUAGUGAACCAGUACCGUGAGGGAAAGGUGAAAAGCACCCCGGGAGGGGAGUGAAAACAGUUCCUGAAAACCAUGUGCCUACAAGCUGUCGGAGCACAUUUACGUGUGACGGCGUGCCUCUUGCAGAAUGAACCGGCGAGUCAUGAUUGCGUGCAAGGUUAAGGUGGAAAAAACCGGAGCCGCAGCGAAAGCGAGUCUGAAAUGGGCGUACGAAAGUACGCAGUUAUGUACCCGAAACCAGGUGACCUACCCAUGUCCAGGUUGAAGGUGCGGUAAAACGCACUGGAGGACCGAACCCGUAUCAGUUUGAAAAUGGUUGGGAUGAGGUGUGGGUAGCGGUGAAAUUCCAAACGAACUUGGAGAUAGCUGGUUCUCUCCGAAAUCUCUUUAGGGGGAGCCUCGAGGUUUAGAAUCAUGGAGGUAGAGCACUGUUUGGACUAGGGGCCCGUCAUGGGUUACUGACUUCAGAUAAACUCCGAAUGCCAUUGAUUUUUAACUCGGGAGUCACACGGUGAGUGAUAAGAUCCAUCGUGGAAAGGGGAACAGCCCAGAUCAUCAGCUAAGGUCCCUAAAUAUAUGCUAAGUGGAAAAGGAUGUGGAAUUGCACAGACAACUAGGAUGUUGGCUCAGAAGGCAGCCAUCAUUUAAAGAGUGCGUAAUAGCUCACUAGUCGAGUGACUCUGCGCCGAAAAUGUACCGGGGCUAAGCAUAUUACCGAAGCUAUGGAUGCAUCCAUUAGGAUGCGUGGUAGGAGAGCGUUCCAAGGGCGAUGAAGUCAGAACCGUAAGGACUGGUGGAGCGCUUGGAAAGUGAGAAUGCCGGUAUGAGUAGCGAAAGACAGGUGAGAAUCCUGUCCACCGAAUGGACUAAGGUUUCCUGGGGAAGGCUCGUCCUCCCAGGGUUAGUCGGGGACCUAAGUCGAGGCCGAGAGGCGUAGACGAUGGACAACAGGUUGAUAUUCCUGUACCAGUUGAUUGUGCUUGAGUGAUGGAGUGACGCAGAAGGCUAAGCGAUCCGGGACGAUUGGAAGUGUCCGGCCAAGCAGCAAGUCAGUUGAUGAGUCAAAUGCUUAUCGGCGGGUUGACAAGCUGUGACGGGGAGCGAAAUUAUAGUAGCGAAGUCGUUGAUGUCACGCUGCCGAGAAAAAGCUUCUAGCGAAUAAUCAAACUGCCCGUACCGCAAACCGACACAGGUAGUCGAGGAGAGUAUCCUAAGGUGAGCGAGCGAACUCUCGUUAAGGAACUCGGCAAAAUGACCCCGUAACUUCGGAGAAGGGGUGCUGAUCGCAAGACCAGCCGCAGUGAAAAGGCCCAGGCGACUGUUUAUCAAAAAACACAGGUUUCUGCAAAAUCGUAAGAUGAAGUAUAGGGGCUGACGCCUGCCCGGUGCUGGAAGGUUAAAAGGAAGAGUUAGCUUCGGCAAAGCCUGAAUUGAAGCCCCAGUAAACGGCGGCCGUAACUAUAACGGUCCUAAGGUAGCGAAAUUCCUUGUCGGGUAAGUUCCGACCCGCACGAAAGGCGUAACGAUCUGGGCACUGUCUCAACGAGAGACUCGUGAAAUUGAAUUGCCUGUGAAGAUGCAGGCUACCCGCGACAGGACGGAAAGAC